rnacentral:rRNA from 1 species
GACGAACGCUGGCGGCGUGCUUAGCACAUGCAAGUCGAACGGAAAGGCCCUGCUUUUGUGGGGUGCUCGAGUGGCGAACGGGUGAGUAACACGUGAGUAACCUGCCCUUGACUUUGGGAUAACUUCAGGAAACUGGGGCUAAUACCGGAUAGGAGCUCCUGCUGCAUGGUGGGGGUUGGAAAGUUUCGGCGGUUGGGGAUGGACUCGCGGCUUAUCAGCUUGUUGGUGGGGUAGUGGCUUACCAAGGCUUUGACGGGUAGCCGGCCUGAGAGGGUGACCGGCCACAUUGGGACUGAGAUACGGCCCAGACUCCUACGGGAGGCAGUAGUGGGGAAUAUUGCACAAUGGGCGGAAGCCUGAUGCAGCAACGCCGCGUGCGGGAUGACGGCCUUCGGGUUGUAAACCGCUUUCGCCUGUGACGAAGCGUGAGUGACGGUAAUGGGUAAAGAAGCACCGGCUAACUACGUG